rnacentral:miRNA from 1 species
UAGUGCUGCAAUGUAAACAUUGCCAUUUCAGGGAAAUGGCAAUGUUUACAUUGCAGCACUA